UCCGCGGUAGCUCAGCUGGUAGAGCGGCUCCCUGUUAAGGAGUUGGUCCCAGGUUCGAAUCCUGGCCGCGGAGCAA
rnacentral:tRNA from 1 species